rnacentral:lncRNA from 1 species
GUUGGCUGGGUGAACUAAGGUCAGGUAGUUGCUUUCUUUUGAGGGACAAUUAUUUACGGAGACAAAGUUUUUUAUUCAAUGACAAGUGGGUCUGUGGGUUGUAAAAAAUAGAAGCAUCAAUGAGGCAAUCUUAGCUGUUCCCUGAGCAAUAUGAAGUAAAAUAUUUCUGGAAAAGAAAAUUGUGUAAAGUAGUACUAUUUAAAGAAAAUGAAAAAAAAAGUAAAUAAAACAACAUAUCAUGAUCUUUCCUAAUGAAUUAAUAAAACAAAAGCUUUAUUUUAAUGAUUAUAGGAAGAUGUUCUCAGUUUAUUUAAAUCAGAAAUAUAAAGAGCAUUUAAGAAUAUAACAAAAUCUUCAGCCAUCAGUUUUUCAUAUUUUCUUUUCCUUCUUGGCAAUUAAAGCUGAAUAAAGAUUAGAUUAUCUUUAUGCAUAAUUUAUGAAAACAAAGAUAUUGAUGAUUAUACUUUAUAUAAAACUGCAAGGAGGAAUCAGGAAUAUAACAAAAGUAUUGGAAUACCUUCCUAGCAUACAUAAAAUACCAAUUCUAUGACUAUCGCCUUAUAACUUGGGCGUGGUGAUUCGUUUCUGUGAUCCUAGCACUCCAGCGAGAGAGGCAAGAUGAUCAGAAAUUCAGGCCUACAGAGGUAGCAAGUUCAACAUUCAUCUGGAAUCAUGAGAUUCUGUCUGAAAAAUAAAACAAUGACAAAACCUAGGAUAAUUUUCUCAGUUAGUGUUUUUGCAUUUACAAGAGAACUUUCAGGUAAUUUUUGUUUUGGUUGUUUCUCUUUUAAUAUUUUCCAAGUGCUCUAUUCUGUGUAUUAUGGACUUCAUCUAUUGCACAAAUACAUUUUUACCUUAUUAUUGUUUGAAACACGCCUUUCUCUCUCUUUCUGUCCAUAUUCACUCAGUUGUUCCAUAGUGAGAGAUGUGCUCAGCAGGCUCUCUGUUUGGAAGGUUUGCUGUCCGAGGACAGGUCUAUUCCACUGUUCCAGCCUUAGGGGAUGUGCAGUUUUCUUGUCAGUUCAAAGGACAAGCUGUGAAUCGCAUAUAAAGAAUGGGGACCAAGCUCCCUGCCUGUGUAUCUUUUCUUCUGCUUACACGGCCAACAGUAUUCUAUUAUUGGGACUUCCCCUUAAACACCAUUUUUGUCCUCUAAAUACCACUAAUGUGUGACUUCGGGUGAUACACACCUCCAUGGUUUUGGUAGAGAGGUCAUGGGGAUAGGGUUUCUGACUCUCUGUUUGCCCAUGCAGGCUUUUCUGUUCCUAAUUUCAUUUGUGUCUGUUUCUUCUACCAUGUCUCUUUCUUUCCAUUCUUCCCUGUUUCCCUUAGUCUAUCUUCCAUCACUUUCACUUCCUGUUUAUUCUUUUCUCAAUUCUUAGCAUCCUCCUCAACUCCUUCACACUAUUCUGUUCUCAGUAUCUUCUCUUUGCGCCCCAAUCUCUACAUUUAACUGAAUAUCUUAGCAUUACCCCAUCUUAUAUUGUUUGAUGAGGACAAGGCAUGUUUCCUAAAACUUAUUUUCUGAUUUAUUGUAAUUUAUGGUGUACCCAUACAAUUUUGAAAUGUUUUAAAUCUUUCUUAAAUUUGUUUUCUCACAACUACAACUGAGUUCUCUGUGCUCAUAGAGAGAUAUUUAUUUUAUGAGUAAGUUAAUUCCACUUAAUAUAAUAGAAAAAAUUCCAACUGCUGUUACAGUGAUGCAAUUAGUUUAUUUGUAAUUAUGUUUUUCCCCACUGGUAAUUUAUAAUACAUUAUAUUAAAUUACUACUAUAACGCUCCCAUGUUGGUCCCACUAGUUGUUCUUAAUCAUUUAUUUAAUUAUUAAUUGGAAUGCAAUAAUCUAGUGUACAUUUAUAAAACAAAAUAGUAAAUAUGAUUUAUAUUUAAAGGUAUAAAGAUACAAAUUUAACAAACUUUAAUGUCAAAAAAUUUGCACUAACAACAUUGUCAAGUGAUGCUGGCAUCUUGUAUAUGCAAAAUAUAUUUGUUUUAUAUAGAACUAUUCAGUGUGCUUUUAUAAUAAAUGGUUAAUGUUAACGGACUAUACAGAGUAAGAUUUUGUAGUUUUAGUGUAAGUAAGAUAACCUCAGUGGGUAAAAUUACCUGUUGCCAAGCUUAUAAAGUUCGAUUCCGCAGGUAUAUGAGGUUGUAGGAAAGAACUCACAAACUUUGUCCUCUAACCUCCAUGUGUGUGCCUUUGUAUGCCCAUGACUAUGCACACAUGCACAUAUACCACUAAAUACAUACAUGAAAAUGUAAUCAUGUUUUUUGAAAUGUGAAUUCACACUUUAUAACAUUUGCUAUGAAAUGUUGUGAUGGCUUCUUUGAAUAUGUGCUACGCUUUACAUAGCACAGGCUGGCGGAGUUUUAGGAAGGCCAGGAAACACACUCUCCACAGUCUCUGUCAUUGGCAAGAUAGUUAAUAAGCAGGAACUUGCUGGAGAAGGGAUCACAUACAAAAGUCAUAGCUCAAUGGAAUAAACAGAAAUGAAUUGAUCUGGUACAGUGUGAUAAUUUCGUUUCUGAGGCUGAGGAUAAAAUUUGUGAUACUACGCUGAGUUGGCAUGGGUGAGGCCCUGGGGUCUAUUCCCAGAACAGCAAGCAAUGCCAGCAGAGAAGCUCAGUACAAUAUGUAGAUAAUUAAAAUAGAGGAAAUGCAAAGAAGGUAAAUAUAACAAAUGGGAUGUCGUCUUUAAAGAAAACUAAUAAAGACAAAACCCUUGGAAUAAAAACCAAGUGUAAAUGGAUACUAUCAAAAUCAGGUUGUGGGUUUGCAACAUUAACAGAAGGAAACUUCCAAAAACACAUUAAAAAGUGAAACUGGUCAAUGAUUUCUGUUGACAGUGGGCCAGAAUCUUUGUCAUAUCUCUGGCUGUAAUCAGACAGGCAACAGGACUUGUUAAAAUAGAUGAUAAAAUAAUAGCCAGAAAAUACCAAAAUAUUAAAAAUGUAUAAAAUGAAUAAAAUUUAAUUAAGGAAAAUUCAGUAAAAAAUAUUGAUGGAC